AGCAGCCGCCGCGGUAAUACGAAGGGUGCAAGCGUUACUCGGAAUUACUGGGCGUAAAGCGUGCGUAGGUGGUGGUUUAAGUCCGUUGUGAAAGCCCUGGGCUCAACCUGGGAAUUGCAGUGGAUACUGGGUCACUAGAGUGUGGUAGAGGAUAGUGGAAUUUCCGGUGUAGCAGUGAAAUGCGUAGAGAUCGGAAGGAACAUCUGUGGCGAAGGCGACUAUCUGGGCCAACACUGACACUGAGGCACGAAAGCGUGGGGAGCAAACAGGAUUAGAUACCCCAGUAGUCCCUGUCUCUUAUAA
rnacentral:rRNA from 1 species